rnacentral:rRNA from 1 species
AGUGAACGCUGGCGGCAGGCCUAACACAUGCAAGUCGAGCGGCAGCGGGUCGUAGCAAUACGAUGCCGGCGAGCGGCGGACGGGUGAGGAAUACAUCGGAAUCUACCCAGUCGUGGGGGAUAACGUAGGGAAACUUACGCUAAUACCGCAUACGACCUGAGGGUGAAAGCAGGGGACCGCAAGGCCUUGCGCGAUUGGAUGAGCCGAUGUCGGAUUAGCUAGUUGGUGAGGUAAAGGCUCACCAAGGCGACGAUCCGUAGCUGGUCUGAGAGGAGGAUCAGCCACACUGGAACUGAGACACGGUCCAGAUUCCUACGGGAGGCAGCAGUGGGGAAUAUUGGACAAUGGGCGCAAGCCUGAUCCAGCCAUGCCGCGUGUGUGAAGAAGGCCUUCGGGUUAUAAAGCACUUUUGUCCGGGAAGAAAUCUUUCAGGCUAAUACCCUUGGAAGGAUGACGGUACCUGAAGAAUAAGCACCGGCUAACUACGUGCCAGCCGCCGCAGUAA